rnacentral:rRNA from 1 species
UACGUAGGGAGCAAGCGUUGUCCGGAAUCAUUUGGGGCGUAAAAGCGCGCGUAGGUGGGCCUCAUAAGUCCGCUGUGAAAGUCAAAAGGCUCAACCUUUUGAAAGCCGGUGGAUACUGUGAGGGCUAAGAGUACGGGAAAGAGGGCGAGUGGGAAAUUUCCCUGGGUGUAGCGGGUGGGAAAUGCGCAGAUAUCAGGAGGGAACACCCAAAUAGCGAAAGGGCAGCUCGCUGGGGACGUUUACUGACACUUGAGGGCGCGAAAAGCGUGGGGGGAGCGAACAGGGGA